GACGAACGCUGGCGGCGUGCCUAAUACAUGCAAGUAGAACGCUGAAGAGAGGAGCUUACUCUUCUUGGAUGAGUUGCGCACGGGUGAGUAACGCGUAGGUAACCUGCCUUGUAGCGGGGGAUAACUAUUGGAAACGAUAGCUAAUACCGCAUAACAAUGGAUGACACAUGUCAUUUAUUUGAAAGGGGCAAUUGCUCCACUACAAGAUGGACCUGCGUUGUAUUAGCUAGUAGGUGAGGUAAUGGCUCACCUAGGCGACGAUACAUAGCCGACCUGAGAGGGUGAUCGGCCACACUGGGACUGAGACACGGCCCAGACUCCUACGGGAGGCAGCAGUAGGGAAUCUUCGGCAAUGGGGGCAACCCUGACCGAGCAACGCCGCGUGAGUGAAGAAGGGUUUCGGAUCGUAAAGCUCUGUUGUAAGUCAAGAACGGGUGUGAGAGUGGAAAGUUCACACUGUGACGGUAGCUUACCAGAAAGGGACGGCUAACUACGUG
rnacentral:rRNA from 1 species